CAUUCAGGAACUGCAAUCCGCCAAAUUAUAGAUGCUGUUGGCAAUUGUCAGCUCGGCUUAUUAAAUUAUUGCCUUAAUUAAUGAUUUUGAAUUCUAUACAAGCAAUCCAACUCUCAAAAAUAAGCUUCCUGGCCAUAUCCACUGAGGAAGACCCGAUAGAGUUGACUUUCAGGAACUGCAAUCCACCAAAUUAUAGAUGCUGUUGGCGAUUGUCAGCUCGGCUUAUUAAAUUAUUGCUUUAAUUAAUGAUUUUCAAUUCUAUACAAGCAAUCCAACUCUCAAAGAUAAGCUUCCUGGCCAUAUCCACUGAGGAAGACCCGAUAGAGUUGACUUUUAGGAACUGCAAUCCGCCAAAUUAUAGAUGCUGUUGGCGAUUGUCAGCUCGGCUUAUUAAAUUAUUGCUUUACUAGAGAUUGAAAAUAAUUAAUUAA